CAAUCCUGUUUCUGUGAGGCUGCAAUUACCGGCUUCUAUGAGGAUUCAUCCUACGUUCCAUGUUUCUCAACUGCAGCCAGUCUCUCACAGCCCGCUGUGCCCACCCGUGGAACCUCCUCCGCCCGCCCGGGUGGUGGACGGGGGUCCUGUCUAUUCAGUCCGGCGGCUGCUGGAUGUGCGCCGUCGUGGCCGAGGUUUCCAGUUUCUGGUGGACUGGGAGGGGUAUGGCCCGGAGGAGCGCUCCUGGGUCUCGAGGGCCUUCAUUGUGAACCCAGCGCUUAUUGUGGAUUUUUACAGGAGGCAUCCUGACAAGCCUGGAGGACCGCCGGAUGGCGUUCCUUGAGGGGGGGAUACUGUUAGGAGGUGGUGGGUAGGUGUACUGUUGUUGUUUGGGUUUUGUUUUCCUUUUGGUUAUAGGUAGGCGAGGCGGGGCUUGAUGGCAUUCCAACACACCUGCGACGCAUCGGACGUCAUCAGUGAGCGCUUUUAGGGAGCAGAGUCACGGACGUCUGGUGUCGGAGUAUUAUCGCUGUCACAAGUGGUAACGAGUUAGCACAGGCUGCAUCUGUUGAUUUUACGCUGUGGAGCUGUAUGUUUUAAAGGAUCCACGUUUCGCCUACUUUUCUUUGUCUUAGCCUGUUCCAUCGCCUGCCCGCCUACCUAGGAUUUUGUGUUGGCUAUUCUGGAUCCGCGACGGAGUGCUACGUACCAUCAGGCGGCGAUCACCGCAGCGGCUGUGGUUUGGGGUGGUCAAGUAGCUCCGGUGCGUCUGCUACCUACCUGUAUGCUUCGGCUCCAUCUCAUCGCCUCGGUGUUUUCCUGCUGGCACAUUUUUAUUUAUCACUGUAUAUAGCCCUUUCCCUUGUAAAUAUUCCCCCUUACUCGUGUAUAUAAAAACUUGCAUCACAAA
ensembl:lncRNA